CUCUGGGAUAGCUCAGUUGGUAGAACAUGAGACUCUUAAUCUCAGGGUCAUGAGUCUGAGUCCUGAGUUGGGGA
rnacentral:tRNA from 1 species